GAUGAACGCUGGCGGCGUGCCUAAUACAUGCAGGUCGAGCGAACGGACGAGAAGCUUGCUUCUCUGAUGUUAGCGGCGGACGGGUGAGUAAUACGUGGAUAACCUACCUAUAAGACUGGGAUAACUUCGGGAAACCGGAGCUAAUACCGGAUGAUAUUUUGAACCGCAUGGUUCAAAAGUGAAAGACGGUCUUGCUGUCACUUAUAGAUGGAUCCGCGCUGCAUUAGCUAGUUGGUAAGGUAACGGCCUACCAAGGCAACGAUGCAUAGCCGACCUGAGAGGGUGAUCGGCCACACUGGAACUGAGACACGGUCCAGACUCCUACGGGAGGCAGCAGUAGGGAAUCUUCCGCAAUGGGCGAAAGCCUGACGGAGCAACGCCGCGUGAGUGAUGAAGGUCUUCGGAUCGUAAAACUCUGUUAUUAGGGAAGAACAUAUGUGUAAGUAACUGUGCACAUCUUGACGGUACCUAAUCAGAAAGCCACGGCUAACUACGUG
rnacentral:rRNA from 1 species